rnacentral:rRNA from 1 species
GAUGAACGCUGGCGGCGUGCCUAAUACAUGCAAGUCGAGCGAACAGACGAGGAGCUUGCUCCUCUGACGUUAGCGGCGGACGGGUGAGUAACACGUGGAUAACCUACCUAUAAGACUGGGAUAACUUCGGGAAACCGGAGCUAAUACCGGAUAAUAUAUUGAACCGCAUGGUUCAAUAGUGAAAGACGGUUUUGCUGUCACUUAUAGCUGGAUCCGCGACGCAUUAGCUAGUUGGUAAGGUAACGGCUUACCAAGGCAACGAUGCGUAGCCGACCUGAGAGGGUGAUCGGCCACACUGGAACUGAGACACGGUCCAGACUCCUACGGGAGGCAGCAGUAGGGAAUCUUCGGCAAUGGGCGAAAGCCUGACGGAGCAACGCCGCGUGAGUGAUGAAGGUCUUCGGAUCGUAAAACUCUGUUAUUAGGGAAGAACAAAUGUGUAAGUAACUAUGCACGUCUUGACGGUACCUAAUCAGAAAGCCACGGCUAGCUACGUG